rnacentral:lncRNA from 1 species
AUUAGCGGUUAUCCAAGCAGCAAUAACAAAAUCUUUUUACAUUUUCCAAUCCAAAACAAAUCACACAAACCCUAAAUCAACAUGAAACAAAUGAUCAUCUUCGCUGUUCUCUUCAGUGUUGCCUACGCUGGUGUCAUCCAUGCUCCAGCAGCCUAUAUUGCCUCAGCUCCAGUUUUCACCAAAACCAUCCACCAUCAACCAGCUCUUGCUCCAGUACAAACCGUUGAACGAACCGUCCAAGCUGUUCAACACCCAUCAGUCACCACUCUUCACCAAGCUCCAACCACCGUCCUCGCUCAGGCCCCAAAAAUCUCAGGAUACUCAUACACCUCUGAUGUCCGACACGACGCAACCGUCGCAGCUGCCCCAGUUGUCGCUGCCGCACCAGUCGUCCAUGCUGCACCAGUUGUUCACGCUGCACCAGUUGUCGCUAAAGUAGCUGCUCCAGCUGCCAUCGUCAGUGCCCCAACUGUCCAUGCUGCCCCAGCUCUUGUUGCUGAAUCACCAGUAGUCAACUCAUACUCAAUUGAAACUGGACGAACCCACGUUGCUACCCAACAACAUUACGGAAUCGCUCACGUUCCUGGUGUUGUCAAUGUCCCAGCUGUUAAGCACAUCCACGCUGCUCCAGUUGUCCACGCCGCACCUGUUGUCCAUGCUGCCCCAACCUACUGGUAAACAGUUGCCACCAAACAUUAUUUUGAUUAGGUAAAAAAUGAUGUAUAAUGUAGUUAUGUAUCAUUUAAAUACUCCAACAAAGCCAUAACAAGAUCAAACAACCCUUAAAUGACUAUUGCGAAUAAUAUCCGCCAAGAGAUUGAUUAUAAUAAUUUUGAUAAAAUGGAUGGAUCAGAUUAGUUCUGAUUAACCUCAACCUCAACUUCUGCCUCUCAUCCUUUCCUCAACCUUAACCUUCUUUUUUUUCUUGUAAAUUCAUUCCCUGAGAAAAAAUCAACAAAUUUAGGCUUUAUUUUUGCUCAAUGCAACAAAAAUAAACUGAC